CGCUUUUCGCAAAAGCUACACAGGCAAAUGAAGCGCUUGCCGUUGACAAAGUGCUUAAAGAAAACUCCAUGCGAACAUCACAUUCGUCAUCACCCUGACAUUCACCAGCAAACAUCGCUGUUCGCGGACACUUCACCAUCUCGGAUCGUUCAACAGUCUAACGCGAUUCGCGUCCAUCCACCAUCAACAAUCAACUACUCAAACUUACGAAAUCAACAACAUCAGCUAUCCUAAUCUACGGAGCCGAAUCGCAACGGCAUCAACAAAUUACUCGAGCACGACGAAAAAGAAGAACAACAACUCACCGGCGAUGACGACGGGAGGACGGAUCGGCGACGGCUACGAAUGGAUCGGUUUUGAUGUGUCGCCGCGUUCUUCUUCCUUCUGUUUCAGUGCUUGCAAUCUUCUUGAAUUCGGUUAGAAUUUCUCCUUGCCGCGAGCUUCGCCUCCACUUGUAUUCAAUGCUCUUCUUCUUCUACCUUUCUUGGAGCGAUUCCGGUGAGAUGUUGAUUGUUGACGGUGAAGGUGUCGUGAAUCGGUUACGGUGGUUGAAGAUUCUACGAGGAUGAUCGGAGGUUGGUACAGUGAAUGUGGUUGAAGAACCGAGGUGGAAGAGGAGGUUGAAGUGGUGGCUUAGCUCUGCCGUGUGGAGCUUCGGAUGAUGAAGCUCCCACAACAAUGGAGGAUGAGCGUGUGCUGAAGGUGAGGAUUGAGUGCAGAAGCUUCUGGGAAUCAGGGAAAAAUCGUUCGAACCCAAUGAUUGGCAAUGAUUGCCUCUUAUAUAGGCUUGAUCCAAGGGGCAAAUUGGAGAAUCAGAUUUGGGUGGCUCAAUCUCAUUCGUCCAGCUGGCACUUAAGUGAAGGAUUCGUGUUCAGUUUGGUGUAGUGUCAAGGUUAAUAUACAUUGUAUCAACACAAGCAAAUUCAUUGCAAGCCCCCGUCGGUUGCCGUUAUUGCUCGGUGCUAAGUUUAGCGUCUUGAUGCAAGCUUCGCCCUGUCGCAGUGCAGGAUUGUUAUGCUACUAGAUCCGGAGCUAGCCUUAGACAGACGUUGCCGUUUGUGCUGAAAACCGAUUCGUAAGGCCUCGUUUGAGCACGGCUGCAGGUUUGAUCCCUCUUGCACCGCCUCGGAUUGUUGUAGCAUUAUUGUGGGGUGUGUAUGCUGCCGGUAAUGGAAUGGUACGUUUUAUUCAGCAGGGUGUUCAAUCCAUGUUGGUGUCCUUGUACUGAUUUAGCUCUGGUGCAAGCGACAAUCACAAGAUUCCGCAGUAGACUUGAUGGAAAGGUUUGUGUGCUUUCUUCUUGACCCUGUUCUGCCUUGGCUUACUGCAGGAUUUCACUUGGCUUGAUUGGGAUGCUUUUGUGAGCUGAAUUACCUGCUGCCAGUAAAAUGUCAACAUGACGAAGCUAUUAUCCCACACCUGCACAUAGGUAAGAGAAUUUGCCGUAGAUUCACAUGGUUGGUAUUUUAGCUUAUGUUUCUGAUUGAUUACUUCAGGUUGUGAUGCUACUAUGCAUGUUGAACGCCAACUUAUGAUGAUUCUGAGUUGAUGAUCUUCUACAAGGUCUCUAUUACUCUGUCUUCUGCCAACAGGUCCUGUAAUGGACUUUUCUUGCUCUUCAUAUUCUGAGAAGUUUGAGAAUUAACAGGAUAUUCUGUAGUGUCUCCCGCGUGACUUUCACCAGAUACCUUAACCAAGUCUGGAUAUGAUACCACCCCAGCCCAGGGCGUUGCCAAACUCACGGAAUUGACAGAAGCAGCAACAUCAGAUACAAGUGUUUCUGUCUGUGCCUUUCUCUGUUCUUCCAGCUGAAUUUCUAAUAAAGACUUGGCCUUGACACUUGGAGCAGGUUUCCAAGCCUGUCCAGCAGCAACUUCAGCAUUGUGAGUAGAAACAGAACCAACUGCCACAGAAUCGCCUGAAAGGAUUGUUUCGAUAUGUUUCAUGUGAUCCACCGUUAUUUGGAAUGUGCUUAAUUGUUUGCGAGCUCGUAAUUUGCCAUCUGCAUUUUGAUUGUCCAGGUCUCAUGUUUCGCGUUUCGCACAUGCAUUCCCAUCGGCCGUUACUAUCGUGGUUUGAGUUACAUGCUGCUCAACUGGUUUAACUCCCACAUCUGUACCCACCUGUCCAGCCAGUAGCGAUGCAGCCGAAGACACUACAAUAACAAGUGCAACAUGCUGUGCCGGUUUGGUAUGCUCACCAGACUCGGAAACUGCGUUCAAAAGAGUACCACCAGCGCUGUUAUUGUUAUCCGACAUCAGCAGAAAAAGGUUUAGGUGCGAUAUUAGGCUCUUCUGUGGUCCUAUUCUGCUCAUGUAACAGGAAUCUUUCAACAGAAGCUAAUGCGGGCAAUGUUUUCUUCUGGGUGGAAAUGAUUCUGCAGGUUACCGCUGCUGUUUGGUUGCAGGUCUACUUGCGGAACAUUCCGUGAAUGAGUUCAGUAUCAGUUCAUGUCGGUUUCUUGUAUCAUGGCCAUGGUUCAAUUCUGAUUUGUUACUAUUUGUCAUGCCGGUCAUGGUGGUAUGGAGGAGCAAACAUGGCUAAGUAAAGGGUUGGACCUGGCACGGCAUAACAG